rnacentral:rRNA from 1 species
AUUGAACGCUGGCGGCAGGCCUAACACAUGCAAGUCGGACGGUAGCACAGAGGAGCUUGCUCCUCGGGUGACGAGUGGCGGACGGGUGAGUAAUGUCUGGGGAUCUGCCCGAUAGAGGGGGAUAACCACUGGAAACGGUGGCUAAUACCGCAUAACGUCGCAAGACCAAAGAGGGGGACCUUCGGGCCUCUCACUAUCGGAUGAACCCAGAUGGGAUUAGGUAGUAGGCGGGUUAACGGCCCACCUAGGCGACGAUCCCUAGCUGGUCUGAGAGGAUGACCAGCCACACUGGAACUGAGUCACGGUCCAGACUCCUACGGGAGGCAGCAGUGGGGAAUAUUGCACAAUGGGCGCAAGCCUGAUGCAGCCAUGCCGCGUGUAUGAAGAAGGCCUUCGGGUUGUAAAGUACUUUCAGCGGGGAGGAAGGCGAUGUGGUUAAUAACCGCAUUGAUUGACGUUACCCGCAGAAGAAGCACCGGCUAACUCCGUGCCAGCAGCCGCCGUAA